rnacentral:lncRNA from 1 species
CCUGCCUAUGAGGCCUUGUCUUGGGACUUCCUGUUACCGGAGCACCUGCCCAGGAGGGAUGGGUGGUGCUGCAGGUUUUGUGAACACUGCAGCAGGGAGCUUCCUGGGGACCACAGGGCCCUCGCUCACCUCUGCAGGACCCACUGCUUCAGUUCUUCCCUGUCUUUGUCUCAGGCACUAGGAAAAACUAGUCUGGGAUGUCUGGGCCUGGGCUUACAGCUGUAGCCACACUUAGUUUUUUUCUAUAAUCUCAGGCCAGAGAAAGAACAAUCUUUAAGGCAGAGAAAGAGGCUGUCUUUUGCCUUUCAACAGCUCUGAUUAAUCUCUUCCUGAUGCAGAGAGACUUUGGCAGGACUCCCAAAGCCCCAGAGCCCCCCACUUUGAACUUUUUAUUCUCCCAAACACUUCCGUCCCACCCUGCUCCUCCUCUCCCCAUCCUCACGUCUGUGGGUCAUGUUUCUUUCCAUCUCCGCAUCUGGUCAAGAAUCUGACCCUCUGUGUUGGGAACAUGGGUUUAGUGCGGGAUGAAGAGGUUGGGGAAGAAUCUCAUCUCCAUGAUGCUGGGGUGGGGGAGGGUCCUUU